rnacentral:rRNA from 1 species
AGCAGCCGCGGUAAUUCCAGCUCCAAUAGCGUAUAUUAAAGUUGUUGCAGUUGAAAAGCUCGUAGUUGAAUUUCGGGGUUAGCAGGUCGGUCGUGCCAUUGGUAUGAACUGGUCUCGCUGAUCCCUCCCUCUUGACGAACUGUGAUGCCAUUAAUUUGGUGUCGCAGGGAAUCAGGACUGUUACUUUGAAAAAAUUAGAGUGUUUAAAGCAGGCUCACGCUUGAAUACAUUAGCAUGGAAUAAUGAAAUAGGACGUUUGAUCCUAUUUUGUUGGCUUCUAGGAUUGACGUAAUGAUUAAUAGGGAUAGUUGGGGGCAUUAGUAUUCAAUUGUCAGAGGUGAAAUUCUUGGAUUUAUUGAAGACUAACUACUGCGAAAGCAUUUGCCAAGGAUGUUUUCAUUAAUCAAGAACGAAAGUUAGGGGAUCGAAGACGAUCAGAUACCGUCGUAGUCUUAACCAUAAACUAUGCCGACUAGGGAUCGGAUGAUGUUAAUUUUUUAAUGACUCA